AUUGAACGCUGGCGGCAGGCUUAACACAUGCAAGUCGAGCGAGCGGCGGACGGGUGAGUAAUGUCUGGGAAACUGCCUGAUGGAGGGGGAUAACUACUGGAAACGGUCGCUAAUACCGCAUACAAUCAGAUGUGCCCAGAUGGGAUUAGCUCGUAGGUGGGGUAAUGGCUCAACGAGGCGACGAUCCCUAGCUGGUCUGAGAGGAUGACCAGCAAGCCUGGAACUGAGACACGGCCCAGACUCCUACGGGAGGCAGCAGUGGGGAAUAUUGCACAAGGGGCGCAAGCCGGAUGCAGCCAUGCCGCGUGUGUGAAGAAGGCCUUCGGGGUGUAAAGCACUGUCAGCGAGGAGGCGUUACUCGCAGAAGAAGCACCGGCUAACUCCGUGCCAGCCGCCGCGGUAAUUC
rnacentral:rRNA from 1 species